AGGUAGUUGAGUAUCAAUAAUACUGAGGUAUGUGUAGGUAGCUGGAUAUCUCAAUAAUACUGAGGUGUGUGUAGGUAGCUGAGUAUCAAUAAUACUGAGGUGUGUGUAGGUAGCUGAGUAUCAAUAAUACUGAGGUAUGUGUAGGUAGCUGAGUAUCAAUAAUACUGAGGUGUGUGUAGGUAGCUGAGUAUCAAUAAUACUGAGGUAUGUGUAGGUAGCUGGAUAUCUCAAUAAUACUGAGGUAUGUGUAGGUAGCUGGAUAUCUCAAUAAUACUGAGGUGUGUGUAGGUAGCUGGAUAUCUCAAUAAUACUGAGGUAUGU